ensembl:rRNA 5S_rRNA 5S ribosomal RNA
AGCUCCCAGCCAUGCUACCCUGAACACACUCGAUCUCGUCUGAUCUCAGAAGCUAAGCAGGGUCAGGCCUGGUUAGUACUUGGAUGGGAGACCACCUAGGAAGACCACGUGCUGUAGAUA